AUGCUCUCAGCACAUAUACUAAAAAAUUAGAAUGAUAUAGAGAAGAUUAGCAUGGCCCCUGGGCAAGGAUGACAUGCAAAUUUGUGAAGUGUUCCAUUUUUAU